CCUUAUACGAAUGAUUAUUGCGAUGAGUGUUCACACAGAUUGAUGGUUUAUACGUUUUAGAGACGAUACUGGGUCUGUAGCUCAGGUGGUUAGAGCGUUCGCCUGAUAAGCGAGAGGUCGGUGGUUCGAGUCCACUCAGACCCACCAAUCUUCCUCCCAGAGGAUUGGCACACAGUAUCAACACCUGAUGGGGCUAUAGCUCAGCUGGGAGAGCGCCUGCCUUGCACGCAGGAGGUCAGCAGUUCGAUCCUGCUUAGCUCCACCAUCUUUAAGCACAUUUGCUUAAGUGUUCUUAAACAUGGUUUUCAGUAGAAAAUCUGCUCUUUAACAAUUUGGAAAGCUGACAAAACAAUCUUUUAAAAGAUUGUUUGUAAAGUUCUCAAUGUAUUCCUGAAUGGAAUACACCAACAAACACAUUCAAGUGUGCUUGGUAUCGAAGCUUACUGAUUCAGUAAGUCUUCAAAUUGAGUCCGGCAAAAUCAGUCACACACUCAUGAAAAAUAAAUGUGUGACACCUAGGUUGUUUAACAACAACCCGAAACUCCUUCGGGUUGUAU
rnacentral:tRNA from 1 species